rnacentral:rRNA from 1 species
GUUUGAUCCUGGCUCAGGGUGAAUGCUGGCGGUAUGGAUAAGGCAUGCAAGUCGAAUGGGUUUAGACCCAUGGCAGACGAGGUAGUAACGGGUAGGAACGUCCCUGGAAGACGGGCAUAAUCAACCGAAAGGUUGGAUAAUUCCCGAUGGUCUCGCAAGAGUAAAGAUUUAUCGCUUCCAGAGCGGCCUGCUUUGUAUCAGCUAGUUGGUGAGGUAAUGGCUCACCAAGGCUAUGACGCAUAAGGGACCUGAGAGGGUGACCCCCACCGAUCGGACUGAGACACGGUCGAUACUCCUACGGGAGGCUGCAGCCGAGAAUAUUCGACAAUGGGCGAAAGCCUGAUCGAGCGAUACCGCGUGGUGGAUGAAGCGCUUCGGCGCGUAAACAUCUUUUAUGGAGGAGGAAAUCAUUGACGUUACUCCAUGAAUAAGGGGCUCCUAACUCUGUGCCAGCAGGAGCGGUAAUACAGAGGCCCCAAGCAUUACCCGGAAUCACUGGGCGUAAAGGGUGCGUAGGUGGUCUGUUUAGUCGUUCGUUAAAUACCGGGGCUUAACCCCGGAAUCGCGGGCGAAACGGGCAGACUACAGGGAGUGAGAGGUGAAUGGAACUCAUGGUGUAGGGGUGAAAUCCGUUGAUAUCAUGGGGAACACCGAAAGCGAAGGCAAUUCACUGGCACUCUCCUGACACUCAAGCACGAAAGCGUGGGUAGCGAACUGGAUUGGAUACCCCGGUAGUCCACGCCCUAAACGAUGAUGACUGGCUUUGGGGAGUAUCGACCCUCUCCGAGGCGAAGCUAACGCGUUAAGUCAUCCGCCUGGGUAGUACGGCCGCAAGGCUAAAACUCAAAGGAGUUGACGGAAG